rnacentral:lncRNA from 1 species
GGUAGGGGAAAUAAGAAUCGCAAGACUCUAGCACAGGACGUGUGGAUUGAUGGAAACCUGAAACUGCCAUUGAGCAGAAGGAAAACAUCCCUUUCCAGAACCUUUCUCGUUUUUCUAAAAAUCUGCACUUUUGGAAGUGAUCCCCCAAAGAGACCUCCAGACUCUACCAUGAGUGUCUCCAGCUGAACUCAUCGUGUCUAAUCCUCACCCUAGCUUAUCCUGUUCAAAUCAUUUCCAUCUUUUUCUGGAUGAACCUGGGCGGAUGUCAGACCAGAGAAGAGCACAGAAUGUACCAGAGAGAGUCUUGCUCUGUCACCCAGGCUGAAGUGCACCCAGGCUG